rnacentral:rRNA from 1 species
UACGUAGGGUGCAAGCGUUGUCCGGAAUUAUUGGGCGUAAAGGGCUCGUAGGCGGUCUGUCGCGUCAGGAGUGAAAACUCGGGGCUUAACCCCGAGCCUGCUUCUGAUACGGGCAGACUAGAGGUAUGUAGGGGAGAACGGAAUUCCUGGUGUAGCGGUGAAAUGCGCAGAUAUCAGGAGGAACACCGGUGGCGAAGGCGGUUCUCUGGGCAUUAACUGACGCUGAGGAGCGAAAGCAUGGGGAGCGAACAGG